rnacentral:misc_RNA from 1 species
GCAAACUUGGUCAUUUAGAGGAAGUAAAAGUCGUAACAAGGUUUCCGUAGGUGAACCUGCGGAAGGAUCAUCACUGAUUCCGGGGAGUGCGCCGCGUCGCGUCCGCGCGCCGCGCGCUGCACACCCCAACCAAUCUUUUGUGCACGGUUUCACGGUCAAUGAGGCGCCGCGUGUGUGUGUGUUGGCGAGUGGUGGUGGUAUUUGCCGGCCGGCGUUCCCAGCAGCGUGCUGCGGGGGGCGCGCUUGCCAACCGCCGCAUGCGCGUGCGUUCUCUGCUUCUUGCAAUCUCUUGUGUAAUCUCUGUCUAACACAUUUUACCAAACACAUGUACAACUUUCAACAAUGGAUCUCUUGGCUCUCGCAUCGAUGAAGAACGCAGC